rnacentral:rRNA from 1 species
CCUACGGGAGGCAGCAGUAGGGAAUCUUCGGCAAUGGACGAAAGUCUGACCGAGCAACGCCGCGUGAGUGAAGAAGGUUUUCGGAUCGUAAAACUCUGUUGUUAGAGAAGAACAAGGACGUUUAGUAACUGAACGUCCCCUGACGGUAUCUAACCAGAAAGCCACGGCUAACUACGUGCC